CAGACGAUGCGUCAUGCAUAUCAAUAAGCGGAGGAAAAGAAACUAACAAGGAUUCCCCUAGUAACGGCGAGUGAAGCGGGAAGAGCUCAAAUUUGAAAUCUUAAAGGGUUUCCCUUUACGAAUUGUAGUUUAAAGGAAGUGUUUUCUGCUGAGGUUUUGGUAAAAGUUCUUUGGAAUAGGACAUCAUAGAGGGUGAGAAUCCCGUAUUUGACCUUUACUUUCAACUUUGUGAUACACUUUCAAAGAGUCGGAUUGUUUGGGAAUGCAGUCCAAAAUGGGUGGUAAAUUUCAUCUAAAGCUAAAUAUUGGCGAGAGACCGAUAGCGAACAAGUACCGUGAGGGAAAGAUGAAAAGAACUUUGAAAAGAGAGUUAAACAGUACGUGAAAUUGUCAAAAGGGAAGCGUUUGACACCAGUGUUGUUUUUCUGAAAAUCAAUUAAAGAACUGUUUAUGCUAAGCUGUUUAGACUUUAUCAGCUAUCUGUUUAGUUUUGAGCUUUUCUUUAAUGCACUUUUCAGUUAACAAGUCAACAUCAAUUUCUUUUGCUGUAAAAAAGCUUGAGGAAGGUGGCUUGAGAUUCGUCUUAAGUGUUUAUAGCCUCUUGCCUAUGCAGUCGGAGAGAUUGAGGUCUGCAGCGUAGAUCCUUCGGGGCUAAAUGCAUUUGUGCUAAGUUAUAGCAUUUUAUAGACAACUUGUUGACUAUGAUUUGUCUUGUAGCUUACUCGCUUAUGUUAUUUUACCUACGCUUAGGAUGUUGACACACGCGCGUGCUCG
rnacentral:rRNA from 1 species